ensembl:snRNA U2 U2 spliceosomal RNA
AUCGCUUCUUGGCCUUUUGGCUAAGAUUAAGUGUAGUAUGUGUUCUUACCAGUUUAAUAACAACCUGUUUUUUGGGUUUUUUUUGCGGAACCGGGGAUUGAACUCAGGACCUUGGGCUUGCCAGGUAGGCGCUGGCGCCACUGAGCUAAACCUCCGGCUCAACAACCU